CCCACAAAAUUGCACCCCCAUCACAAACACUCAAAUCAUUCCUUCCAAACCUCAACCAAGAACACAAAGAACCCUCAUAGCCACUGAAAUUGAAGAACACAGAGCCAAAAACCUUUGUUUCUAUUGUCAUGAAAAAUAUACCCCUGGUCACAACUGUCUAAUGAAGAAAAGAGUCCAACUCUACUAGAUAGAACUAGAUGAAGAGGUGGAAGAGGACAAGGAAGGAUG
rnacentral:lncRNA from 1 species